GCUUAGGUAGUUCAAUGGUUAGAACAGAUGCCUCAUAUGCAUCUAAUGUUGGUUCAAUUCCAGCCUUAGGCA
rnacentral:tRNA from 3 species